GGGUUGUGAGGUUAAGCGACUAAGCGUACACGGUGGAUGCCCUGGCAGUCAGAGGCGAUGAAGGGCGUGCUAAUCUGCGAUAAGCGCCGGUAAGGUGAUAUGAACCGUUAUAACCGGCGAUACCCGAAUGGGGAAACCCAGUGUGACUUGUCACACUAUCAUUAACUGAAUCCAUAGGUUAAUGAGGCGAACCGGGGGAACUGAAACAUCUAAGUACCCCGAGGAAAAGAAAUCAACCGAGAUUCCCCCAGUAGCGGCGAGCGAACGGGGAGGAGCCCAGAGCCUGAAUCAGCAUGUGUGUUAGUGGAAGCGUCUGGAAAGGCGCGCGAUACAGGGUGACAGCCCCGUACACAAAAGCGCAUGUG
rnacentral:rRNA from 1 species